GCAUGGAUGAUUCGCUAGAAUAGAAACGAGUACCCUAAGAAAAACGCAUAAGCAGCCUAGCGCAAAGGGAGCAGGGGUCUCAGCACUAGCGACCCGUAGGUCGCAGGUCUGGCUCGGCGGCGCCCUCCCUGGGGUCGCCGGGGACAUUGGAUCCUUUCUACUCAAGGCAGGAAGGGCGCCGUUCCCAGCCGCAGAGCGCAGCGCGCUCACGGGGUGGGGCCGCCGGGUGGGCCCCAGCAUCCAGCAGCCGCAGCUCCGGGCACUGGGGCUUCACUGCAGCUAUUGCGCAGACUCUGCGUUCCACGCAGGCUUAUUAGGAAGAAAGAGGGCAAAACUGCCCGGAGGCACGUGAACGCGUAGGGACCAACCGGGCCUCCGCGCCCCGCCGCAUCCCAGUCCCGAAUUUACGAUCACGAAAGUUCGACCGCCCGCGGAUUGGCUCUCGGGCCGCAUGACGUCAUAGCGCUUGAUCCCUGCUCGCAGCCGGGAUUGGCUGGCCGCGGCACUGUGACGUCACGGUCAGCCCACGCUCCGGCUGUGGACAGCGGCGCCUUCCUCUUACCCGCGGCCGGCGCUCCUCUCGCUUCGCAUCCUCGUCGGCUCCAGCUGGCCGCGGGAGUCCCGCCGCCGCUGCCGCCGCUGCGCUGUCCUCGGAGCCGCUGCUACCUCGGAGGAGGACAUAUACUUCUCCUCCCCUGUAAAUCUGUACCCCUGACCUUAAGGUGCUUCUCCACCGUCAGUGAAGAACCGCUGGUGAGGAGAGGAGAGUCCUGGUCCUGUCAAGCUCACCUAGCCAGGGACUGGCAGAGCCAGAAUGAUACAGAAGUCGGCUGGCUCUUGUUUGACUGGUCAUGUUGAAUUUCUCUGAAGGCAUAUACUGUCAUGAGUUAGCAGAGUACUGGUAAGAAUGUAAUGACCUCACAAGUGUUUUUAAUUGUAAU
rnacentral:lncRNA from 1 species